CCUAACACAUGCAAGUCGAACGGAGAAUUUCAAGAGUUUACUCAGAGAAAUUCUUAGUGGCGGACGGGUGAGUAACGCGUGGGUAACCUACCCAUAAAGCCGGGACAACCCUUGGAAACGAGGGCUAAUACCGGAUGAUCUUAGGGCUUGGCAUCAAGCUUUAAGGAAAGAUGGCCUCUGAAAAUGCUAUCGCUUAUGGAUGGACCCGCGUCUGAUUAGCUGGUUGGUGGGGUAAAGGCCUACCAAGGCGACGAUCAGUAGCCGGCCUGAGAGGGUGAACGGCCACACUGGGACUGAGACACGGCCCAGACUCCUACGGGAGGCAGCAGUGGGGAAUCUUCCGCAAUGGACGAAAGUCUGACGGAGCAACGCCGCGUGUAUGAUGAAGGUCUUCGGAUUGUAAAGUACUGUCUUUGGGGAAGAACGGUCUCUUUGAGAAUAUUGAGGGGACAUGACGGUACCCAAGGAGGAAGCCCCGGCUAACUACGUGCCAGCAGCCGCGGUAAUACGUAGGGGGCGAGCGUUGUCCGGAAUUAUUGGGCGUAAAGGGCGCGUAGGCGGAUUUUUAAGUCUGGUGUGAAAGAUCAGGGCUCAACCCUGAGAGUGCAUCGGAAACUGGGGAUCUUC
rnacentral:rRNA from 1 species